AAAAGUGCCCUAAUACACUAAAAUUAAAUAGAUUGACCUAUUAAAUAUGGCAGGGAAAAAAAAAGAGAAUGAUUAAUACUUCUUUCUUGCAUAAGAAAGUAGUAUCACAGCUUUGGAUGUCUCUUUCUGAAGUAUUUCACACAUACAUAAUAUUCAGUAAUUCUGGUGUAACAUGGAAAACAAAUGAAAUGUGAUUUAAAAACUCUCCUUGGAAAGACAUGUACACUACUCUGAGGCAAUUUCAUUUACUUAAAAUUUCAUGUUACUACUCCCACAGAGACGGAAUGCACUCUAUAACAAAUAUUGCUUCUUAUAAGCUGACAGUUGUAGAACCAAAUCUGCCCUAAAUUAUAAACUGCAUUUUCUGCUGUUUGAUAACACCUGAAACUGAAAGACAUGUGGCUAAAGUACUCCUCUGUGGUUAAUCCAGUACUUAAAUACAUAAAGAAAAUAGCAGAAUAGCUCCUAACAAACAUAUCACAGCAAAUUAUUCAUGAAUUUUCUUUCAAGCAAAUGAAUAUCUGCUGUUCUUCGCAGCAGAAAGUCCUGAGAUCCAAGUUUUGACAAAGCUGAUAAAAAAUAAUUGUUUGAGACAAUAAAUCCUCCUACAGAGGACAUUGCAUUUCCCACAUCUUCACUUUUUAUCAGGAGAACACUAAAGCUGCCUGGAGGCUCUUCAACCAGAUGAAGUAUAGGCCUAAAUAGAUGUGCUUAAUGUUGUCUAAAUCAUAGCAAAGUACUGAGAGAGCUGGAAAUUUCAGCACCUCCAACUGCUCCCAUAAACACAUAAGACCCGGCUAUAACCUUAGUAAUUUCCUCAGCCUUUUUAGGGCCAUUGUACUGUUUUGAGGGGUAUAGGUAUUAAGCUUUAAUCCAACUGCAAAGAGAAAGAAAAGAUUUCAUAAAACACCAGAAGGUGAGAGAGGGCAAGGAGAGGCAAACCUGCCUGCAGUGCAGGGCAGGGGGACUGGAUUUAUCCCAGCUGUAAUGCCCAGGAGAUGUCCUGAGACCUCAAAAGACGUAUUUUCAGACCCACCGCACAUGAUAAGCACCUUCUGAAUCCCUGCUGUGUCCUCGGAAGCUGUCUUCCCUCACAGUGAAGCUAUUCUUCUGAGCAUCUUUUGUCUGCUAUUUAGAGACAUUAACAAAUAGCUCUGUCUCACAGAGAAGUAACACUAGAAAUAAUGAAGCCCGGCUUCCUAGGGAUUUGUGUUUCUUGGCUGAUUACAAGCACUGAUUGAAGCUGUUUCCAAUUGCAGGAGAUCACUCCUGUAACAUUUCUUCUCAUGUGGAUUUUCAGUCUUCCAGCGAAUACAGUCAAAGCAUAGUCUCUCAUUUUUCAGGACUCUUCUGUGGGGUCUUCCGCUGCCUUUUUCACAACUCAUAAGGAAAUCCUCUCUUCUGGUAUAUUUGUUUGAAAUUAUCAGUAAAAAAGAAUUUGAGGGCCACAUAUAAACAUACAUACACUCAUACCCCUCAGCAUGAUCAGAGAAAUCAGAGAAAUCUGACUUCCUACAGAAAUCAGGCUAAAAUAACAAACUUCCUAAUAGACUCACACACUGCCUUUUCAGCUGUGAUCCUAUGUUACUGUGGUCUGUCAAAAGGCACAGAGGACUAAACAGGUGUUGGUUCUUUGGAAAGCUUUUACUAGCAGUCCAUCAGCAGGAUACAUCAAGCAACUGACUACACAAAAAAGUAAGAGUUCAAACCAUACACUUGUGAGCUCAAGUACAUGAUAAACCCAACAAUCUUCCCAGUUACACUAAUGGAAUUGUUGAUUUUCAUUUAACUUACUUUUGGAUUGGAUUGGCAUAACCAGGAAGAAAAAAAAGCCCAAUUGCAGCCCAAUUGUUCCACAAUACCUGUGAUAAAAUCAGGCAAGGUGGCUGCUGAAGCAUAGAGGCCUCUGUGGUGGUGGUCUUGGCUGUCUUAGAAGUUAGAAAAUUAAUUGCUGAGAAGCCUAAACUUAAAAAUAUGCCUUGAAAAUAAGUAAAUAAAAGAAAACAACAGGAAUGGUAUUUGUCAAAACUUUGCACUGCCAUUGAUGGCAGUGUCCUCUACCGAGAAAUGAAAAGAUCUAUUUUUUUUUUCUUUUUUUCUUUUUUAACAAAGUUCUGUUUGAGUUCAUCUCAGGUUUUGCACAUGGCUGAGCUGCUAAUUCCCUGUCCUGGCAAGUGGGGAAGAAUUUGCAAAGACGUGGGUCAUUGCCUCUGCUCCUCACCCAGGCAUUGAAACCUUUCUGCCAGAGUACUGCACGUCAGCUACUGAUCUGGGAAUGCAGCACUGCCACCUAAUUGCUUGCAGUACAGCACGGGACAGAGUUAUCCUGUGCCACGGUCUGCUGCACAGGGUCACAGCAAACCUUACCUGGGAUCUCAGCCUGUUAAGCAGGCUUCUGUCUUCAGAAAGGUCACCUCGGUUUCUGUUAUCUGUGCGAUCCUGGGUCUCACUCGGAGUCUCUGAGUAUCUCUUUUUCCUAUCCCUAUGAAAUAUGUGGGGUCAAGGCAGAAGUUAUGCUUUUGGUUCUGCACACCAAGACCAUGUAAUGUGCAGGUAAGUAGCACCUGGCCCUAUCUGUGCAAUUGCAGUGAAGGCAAAGGUUGCUAUUUGAGACACAAUAUGGAGCACAGGCAAAUGAAAAGUUUAUGCAUUCUUAUUAAACUUAGUUGAAGAGGAAAGAAGAGGUAACAACGAGGUCACUUAGAUACCACAAAGCCCUUCACUUUUCAAACAGAAAAUGAAGAAAAGCAAAGGCCAGGGCAGAGGAAAUAACUUAUUUUUAGGCUGAUAGGGAAUUUGGCUCAAAACCCUUCAAUCUUAAUCUUACAAUGACUUAUUAAAACAAGUAAUUCAUUAAAUAAACACUUUUCUAACUGUGUAUUAGAGUGAGAAUAUUACUACAUAGCAACUGUUAAGAAUUCAUUUCUGUUAAAGAGCUUCUAUGACUGCACUUGGUAGUGCUGCAGGUUGGUGACCCAGAGCUUUGAAUUCAAUUUCCUGUACAGCUAUCUAUGAAAAAAAAAAUCUUCUAGAUCUACAUUGGGGAAGUAUUGACCUUCUGCUCUCCUUGUACAGAUCUUCCAAAAAUUUUGCAUGUGAAAGAAUUUAGAUCCACUGGGUGUUAUGAUUUUUUUCCCUUAAAUAUAUGUAUGCAGUCACUUCUGAGAUCAACAAAAAUACACUGAUCCUAACACUGCCAGAAGUCACUGAGAUCUAUUCAGCAUAAUUUGGGUUAAAAGUGAGCUGAAUGUGUGCCAGGAGGUACAAAACAAAGUGUCACGCUGCUUUUGUAAUUGCCUAAUUGGACAAAAUAAUUCCCUCCCGCAGGGUGACCCUCUCUUGCAGCUCCUGCAAGGAAUUGCAAUACAAAAUGAGGAAUAGGGUUUUCUAAAUUAACCCAUUGUCGUUAUUGUAUUACCAUUUUAUGCAGUUACGGUUAUUGCAUAAUUACCCACUUGUUGUGAGUACUCAUGUCCUCUUUUACAUAUUUCUUGCUUUCACGCCCCUUGUAGCAUGGGACCACCCCAGAGACAUCCUUCAUCAAACACUCCUCGUGCUCUAAUGAUACCAGAAAGUGUUUUGCUCUUUGGAAGUCAACCUCUCAACUAAAUUUCUUAGCACUUUAAGCUUGUUUAUCUAUAGGCCUACAGAAGCCUGCUCACAUAGUUGGUAUGGCUAAUGGAUUGGUGACAGGCAGCAGUGGAACACUUUGAUCCCAGUCCUCAGGUGCUGUAGCUUGUCAGAGGUGGAUGGCUGAGCUGUUUUCACCAUUGAUCAAGCAGUUUGUAGCAGAUUAUUAUAAUUAAGCACCUUUGAAGUGCCAAGUUAUAUGAAGCUCUGGCACAGUUCAGGUUGUAGAAUUCAAAUGAGAUUUAUUAGUAUUAGAUUUAUUAAUAUUCUCAUUUUUAUAGGAUAUCAUGUCACUUAUGGAAAUGGCUUCUCUCCACAUUUAGAUUUGUCCUAGUGAGGCUGUUCCACCUGGGGAAGACACAUUGAGGUAAAUCACCCAGACUUGAGAACAGUCCUCACUCCUGAUUUAAUCUUAGUAUCACCUAUACGAAUGCAAGUAAUGGGCCCUGCAUCUCCCGGAGGAGUUUUCUACCUUGCUGAGCCAGGAGGAUCCCUGCCAGCAGUGCUGGGGCUGCCUCCAGCCCACCACCAGUGCUUUCCUCAGGGCCAGAAGAGCAUCAUAUCAAUGGUUUAGCCAAGUAAAAAGACAGCUUGAUGACACCUUUGCAAUUCUGUCUGCAGGGCUAUGCUUAGUAGUCACUGUGAGUUUAGGAGGCAGCUUCAUAAGCCCUGUAAUUAACACUUCGGCUGGCAGCUGUUCCCAUUUCCACAUUUCCCUGCAGCACCGAUACAACCAUCGCUCACACCGGCUGCCGCCCACGGCCUGGCUGCAGCACAGUGCCCAGGCCACAGCAGUUAGGAGAGCUGUAGUUGGCUGCCUGGAAAAAUAUCCCACAGGGAAAUGAGCAAAAACAAAAAUGAAAAGGAAGAAGAGGAAAACCCGAGACCUAAAUGAUGUUACAUGAACCGGUCUGCCAAGCUUGUUUCCAACCAGGCCAAGACCUGUUGCUGGAAGCUGACAGGCCUCAACGGAAAGAGUCCCAGAAAGGGAGAAGAGACAAAGUGCUGGGAAUCUGAAUUUGUGUAUUUCUAUUCUGAACCAUUUCUCACCACCCAGUGUACAACAUCAAGCAAACCAGUGCCUUCCAGCUGGUGAGAUGCUGUUGGUGCUGGAGCAAGAGCUGGCCUGAGGAGCUGCAGAGAGGUCCUAUUGCCCAGAGCAGAGUGCAGAAACCCUGACAGCCUCACUGGCAUUUUAUCUAGUGGAAGCCAGGGCACUGACUUGCCCCUUGGCUAUCAGCCAGCACAAAGGUUUGGCUGCGUUCCCCUGCUCUUGGAGGACUACCCUGAGAACUGCAGAAGGCAGGAAUGCUGUAGAAGCACAACAGCAAUUAUUUGCCUGGAAGGAGAGCUGCUGUUUUGCGUGAGAGCUCUCCUGGGCCAUUGCAGCUUAGGGUAGGGAGAGUAAGAAUGUCACAUAAGGAUGAAAGGAAUUUGGCAUGAGGAAGGCUGAAAGUACCUGAUUCCUGAGAUUCUCUAGAUAUUUUUGGCAGCUACAAUGAUCCUGUGGAGUCAGAGCCUGUGAUGGACACCUACUGAGAAAUGUGUCUUUAAGGCAUAAGCCUGUGGUAGGAUGCAAAGGUCUAUAUGUCACACAUCUGUUUGGAAUGGGAUGUGAUUCUGUGAUAAUUCAAAACAGAUGCCUUAAGCAUCAAGAGAUCAGCAGGACAGGACCAUAGUGCAAAUAGUAGAAAGGGACUCAGAGAAUCACACUAGCACUAAGAUUUCUUAUAUAAAUGAGAAAUUUGGAAAAUGAAUUGAAGGGAAUUUAAAUAACAUUGCCUUCAACAUCUGCAAGCAAUGCUUGCCAGUAAAGAGAAAGAAAGUUAAAAUAACUAAAUAAAUAUUUUUUACAGCAGCUUGAUUUUGGAAGACUUAACAGGAAACUAACUAGGAAAACAUAAGAAGUCAUAGAGAACAUAAAACAUAGAAGUAACCAAAAAAAAACAAGGACAAGAAUAAGUUAAAAUCAGAAGAAUCCAUGACUACACUAAAGAUGUAGAAACUAUAUUUGAGAGUUUGAUUUCUAGAGAAGAGAACAGAUCAUGUUUCAGCUCUUGUCAUCAGGCAAUCAGGUCAUGUUUGAGCAUCAGUUGUGCCAUGUGAACAAGAGCACAAGUCCAUGUGAUGCCUGAACCACUGGAAAAGAUUCAGGAUCUGAAAAGAUAUCACUUUGGAAGAGCUUGCAAGAGUCAGCAAGGUGUGCACAGCAUGGGCGAAGUGGCUCAGAAUUUCCUCUAGGAACAAAAGGUACUGAGAUGAUAUCAGGUUAAUCAGAAUAGUAUUCAUUUUCAGCACACAUGUCAACUAACAUGCUGCCAAAAAAGUGCACUUUUUCUUUUAAUGCACUUAAAAGAAAUCUUAAGGGAACACAAAAGAAGACAGUUGACUCAGAGAACUUAAAAUCACAAGGCCAACCCCUUGGAAGAUAUAUAUAUGAAAUAAAUAUAUAAUAGAUGGAAAAAGAGAAGAGACAGUCAAGGUGAUCUAAGCUUUUAAAGUCUACUUAACAAUAUGAGUAUAGAAAGCUGAGAAAGAAUUUGAAGCCAUUUCCUUAUGGAUCAAGAUCUCAUGAAUAUUAAAUAAUGUACGAAAGAGUUGAAUUGUCCAACAGUUCUCACACCUGCGCAAGUCCUUCACAUUGCAAGACCAAGCUUAAAAAAGGAGCAGGAUAUGCUCAUUGCUAUGGGAUGGCUGGAGGAACUGUUAGAGUUGUUCUUGUAGUUAUAGAAAAGACAUAUGAAACCUCUUGUUUGUCCAUAGAUAGACCUGAAAGAACAAAACAAGACUGUUACAGUGCCAAGCAGAGAUAUGGUCGGUGACAAAUACCUUUCUGCCUUUAGUACAUCACUGGGCUCCUGGCAGGUGUUCAUAUUUGGAAAAAGAAAAGAGCAGGUGUUUCUGAACUUCCAUAAAACCUUUGUGAGCUGCACUGUUUUCUCAGAUGUUUAUUUAGGCUGCAUUUGGCACCUGAGAAAAAAAAAGUGAUAAAUUUUUCAUGCCAUUCAGGUUAGUGAGAUUUAUACAGAUGACAUUUAGAUCUGAUGAAAAACACUGGCUCAGAGCAGCCAUGGAACAAAACUGUGCUUCUGGGCUGAAGCUGGACAAACAGGACUGUAAAUGCCAUGUUACACAAAUAAUAAUAUAAAAGAAGAAAAGUUAGAACAAAAAAAAAAACAACCACCAACAAGUCAAUCAUCAGAAAAUAUGCAGCAAUUUGUCUGCUCCAGCAAUAUUUGGAUGCUGAAUUUUGUAGAUGAAUACACACCUAAUGAAGAUUUUCUGACUGCCAUUAGGCAAAGAUUUCCAAUGAUAUGGGAUGGAAUUACUGAAAAAAAAAAAAAAAAGGAGAGAGAAAUAGAAGGAAUUAUUUAGACAUUUCAGACUUUACAGGAAAUAAUCCAUGGAGGAUUUGGGGGCAUAUAUUGAUGUCGUCAUUUAAACACCGUGAAUAAAACAAAUAGUCACAGUAGUUUAUGAGUUAACAAAACUUAGGUAUGAAUAUGCUCAGGAGAAAGAAAAAAAAAAGAUUAUUUAAUCUUAGGCAUGGAAACAAACAAAAUCAUACAUUUUAAUUUGCUGAAGGCCAGUGAUAUUUGAAACUGAUUAUAUAUUAUAAGCAAUUACCAAAUAGAGCCUGCCCAAUGCUUGUUUUACUUUUUUUUUUUUUCUUUUUUUUCUUUUUUCAGAUAUGAAGUGUGACUCACAGCUUCAAUAUAACCUUGAAAUUGCAAGCAGGGUUUCCAGAGCAUUUGACAAUGGAAAUAAAUCCAGAGAGAGAUUUGUACAUGUCACUCUUAUUGUAACAAUAGUUACUGGGGAUAAUAUGCUUCAUAAAACAAUGUGUAUCAUUAAUGCAAGAUUAAAUUUAGCCUGAAAGCAUGAGGGAGGUGAACUUGAAUGUACUACUGAGAAAGAUCUUCCAGAGCAUGCGUGUGGAUAAUUUCAGGAUUCAAAUGUAUAAAGAAAAGGCCAGGGACAUCCUUUACAUGGAUCAAGUACAUUGAGUUCAGCAAUUGUGUUUAGAAAUAGCAUAAGGUGUAUCUUAUAUAGUGUGGCUGUGAUGAAGACCAUAUCUAGUGAAAGAGUUUACAGAAAACAGAAAAACAGCAAAAUAACUGAAUCCUGAGAGGAUGUGUUUAUUUGCACUUACUAUGCGUUUGUAUUCCAAACCAUUAUUCUCCUUUUCCUGAGAUAGCCUUACUAUCUUUUACUAUUUGUCUCUGACAAGCAUACUACAGAGAAACAUAGUGUGUGUCAAAUUUAUUUUUGUUGACAUAGCAUACCUGACGAUAAGCAAAAGUUCAGCAAACACAAGCUUAAGAAGGGAAUUAUGCUUUUAGAGAGGCCUUGUUCAGUUCCUCAGUCCAAUAAAGCAAUGAAAAAAGGCAUCAAAAUACCAAGAAAAUUUACUGCAGAGUCCAAGUCCACCUCAGAAGUGGAUGCACCACGUCUCAGUGGCAGGAAGGCACUUGACAGGCUGGGCUGGCACUUAUUUUGCAGAGAACUGGAAACAAGGAUUUGCAUGUUGAGAUCAGCCUCAGGUGCGAAGACACAGAAAUACAGAGACAAGCAAAUUGCACCCACAUAGACAUCAGCUGGAGCCCUGGGAGCUGCUGGUGCUUCCUGGGCUGUGCAAUGCUGAGGCAGGAGAAAUGGCCUCAGAUUGGAAUGAGCCCCAGGCCAGGGUGUCAGAGCAUUUACGGGGAGAGUCAGGGCUGCUCUGGCCUGUCCUUCAGGGAAGGGUGCUGCUAAUCAACUUGUUAGUCCUGUCCCUGCUGAAGUUCUGCCUCAGCACCCUGCCACCACCCUGGCCUGGCUCAGGAGGGGAGUGCUGGGCUGAUUCUGUCUGGACUGCAUGGGUUUCUGCUGGGGCCAGAUCCUCCUGGACCUGGAGGAGGUACGGACAGGGCUUGGUCCAAACCUCUCUCCUCCAGGACCUGCCAGGACCCUUCUCAGAGCAGGCAGUCUGGCAUACAGAGUGCUGAUGUGUGCUUUCCUCUGCGACUGCCAAGGGCUUUGCUAUAAUCGCAGCCCUAUACCAUUCCCUACAGAAAUCUGCCUUUGGGAGGUUUGUCUGGGCUGAAGGUCUUCUGCCAGGACCUCCUCUGCAUCUGAGAACUCUUGGGAAUAACUAGAACCUCUGCCCCCACCUGGAGGUGGGAUCUCCUUGCUACCCAACUUCCACCUCCAUGUGCAGGUAGCAGGUCCCUCUCAGCACGAGUGACACCUGGUCUGCCUCCAAACCAUGCUGUGCUCAGCAUACCUGUGCUCCUCUUGGACUCUGUUUCCUCAUUCUUGUGUCCUGCCUGGACACCAGCUGGUGGGACAUCUUUGUCCUGUGAGAAAACCCACCUUGUCCCUGUGAUGGAACAGAGGACAGGCACACGUCCAUGUUGCAAUUUGGGCUACUUUGUGGGUGGCCUGUGUGUGGCAAGCAGGAGACCUGGGUGCACAGGAGCAUGAAUGUGCCAGGAUGCUUUCCCUUUCCUGGCGCUCCCAUUGCCUUUCUGGCUCCACUUUUCCCUUCACCUCUUCAUUUUUGCCUCUUUCACCCAAAGUCCCUGUAAAUCACAGGACCUCCUUGCUGAUGUGCUCCAGGCUGUGGCCACACUGUCCAUCCAUGCCACCAGCAAGAAGGAGCACAAGAGAAGGAAAUCUGUGACUGUGGGGCUUGUCUUCACUCUUCUGUGGCCAAGUAGGGCACCCUACUUAGGACAACAGCCCCCAGCAGCCUGCUGGGAGUGGUGUGCUUUGCUCUGUGUCUCCCUCUGGGGUCCACGUGAUGUAUUUUUGAGUGCUCAACCCUCUCUUUUCUUCCAUUACUUUCUUUUCUCUCCCCUCUUAUAUAUAUAUAUUUGUUGUCUCCUAUCAUCAGUUGCCUGUGCUCCUUUUUCAAGGAAAAAAAAAUUAAAAAGAGCAGUGGUGUUACAAAGCUGCAUGUUGUUUGUAGGAGCUUGUUUCUCCAGGCUCAGAGACAUUGUGGAAGAAAUGACAACCUUCUAAAAAAAAAAUCCAAAAUAAACCAAAAAAACAGAAGGGAAAGAGAAGAAAAGAGGCACAGAGCCUGUUAUUUUGUGCUGCAAACUCUCCAUCAGACAGUAAACACACACUGAGUGGGGAGUCCCAGGACAUAUGACCCAGGAAUGCUGCCCCUGGGACAACCAGUCCCAGUGUCCUAGGGGAGGCAGCGUGCCUGCAGGACACUCCAGGGCACCUCAAAGGCUGAUGAAAAUUUACUGAUAAAUGUGAUCUCUAGGCUGGUGAUAAAUAUUUGUAAGUCUCUGUUAUAUCACUGUUUGAAAUAUACUUUUUUUAAUGUUUUCCUUGGCAGGGUAGGUAUAGUCUUGGGAUUGUACCUUAAAGUUUUAGCAUCUGAAACAAAAGUUCUGGCUAUAGCAUUGUAAAGCCUUUCUUUGUUAUAUGCAGCCUUCACAGAUCAGAGGACAUAAUAAAACAAAUCUGUUGCUAGGUGCUUAUUCUGAGGUCCAAAAUUGCAAAAGUAUUCAGACAUCUGCCUCCCCUGGAAGUCUAUGUAACUUUCAGGAUUUAUAUCUUAGAAAUCACAAAACACCAUCAAGCACUAGUUAGCCCAAAUCUCAGUGAUGCUGGAAUAGGAUGGAUUUCUACCUGAAAAUAAGGCAUGCAAUAGCAUGAUUUAAAAAUGAACUUUGUCCUGUAUUCUCUGCCCCAUAUAAUGACAUUUCUGUACAUAGUUUCUUGGAAGUGUAAAAUUGGGACAGUAAUGUUUAGGAGUAGCUGGUUUCAGAUCAGCUUUCCCAUAAUCAGUAAAAAUAUGUUUCUUGUACCCUUCAAAAAUCACAGAUGCAGGUCUCACUGUUAAAUUGGUGAGGUUUCCACCCAAUGGUGUCAUCAGUGUCUAGAAAUAAUUUGGAGCAACUUCAUGCUCCUUUACCUCUAAUCUGUUCUAUGAAAAUUGAUUGGAAAAAAUACAUUUAGGAGUCAAAUUAAAUCAUGUUUCCCUUUCAAAAAAGCCAACAAACUCUCUUUUCCUUUGCUUAACACUCUUUACUGUGAUGGUUAGUUUUCUUCACGUGCUUAGGUUGAAGCUGUCAACUGCAAAUAUUUGCUAUCAAUUUCUACAGAGCGGGAAUAUCCAGGGUGCUUCUAAACAUAAGCUCUAGUACAUUUGACAGCUCUAGUUUUCUUUCUUGCUGAGACAUUAAUCUGUAAGACUGUGAGAGAAGCACUGGACAUGCAAGCGGGUGAGCAGCACAGGUCUCUUGAAGUUGCAGACCAAGAUUAACAACAUUUCAUAAGGUGCUCAACAAGUGAAAACACAAGCUAAAAUAUACAAACAGAGAGAUGAGCUGUGAUGUAAUCAGAUGUUCAAAGCUAGGGAAUAGGUGAGUUUUUGGAGAAGACAGCCAUUUUGCAUUUCCUUCCUUCCAUAAAAAUCACUAACAUCAUUCAGCCUGUCUACAUAAACAACACAUGCUUCAUUUUGAUCAUCUUCUGGAGAAGGUGUUUUAGAAGUGAGGAGAAUGAGAAGUGGAAUCAUUUUUCAUGUUGUCAGAAGUGAGAUUGACACAUGGGAAGGCUGGAAGCUGGUAAUGAUUGAAGCUUUUUCCAUUUGCUGUUUCCUGCUUGGCCAAAGCUUUCUUGGAUUCCUGCCUAUAAAGUUAAUAUCUGCAAAAGAACUACAUUCACAUACAUAUGUGUGAGAUGUCUCACGCAUAUUUAUGCCAUUUCCCAAGAGACAUACAGCUAAAAUAUCAUGUCUUUGUAUUCUAAAUAAAAGAAGUUUUGGUCAGGUGGUGUUUGUAAUUUCACAGAGUGAAUUCAAUUUCUGAAAUUAUAAUACCAUUUGAUAUCAGCCUUCCUUGCUGUUUCAGCAGAUAAAGCUACCUUGUAUCCAGAAAUAGCUUUUGUGCAUGCCUUUCUGAAUGCUACUCUGUGUUCCCGUUGCCUUCAAGCUUGUUGCUUUGUUUCUAAUUAGUCUUUCCCUAAAUUACAACAAACACAUGACACUAUUGUUCACUUGAUUUCUGGGAAUACAGUCUGAUGAUGGCAGUGCCUACCAGGAGGCCAAAACAUUCUCAGAUGUCUUUGAUAUGGUAAUUGUCUGAUGUGGAGCAAUAUGCAGGAUUUUAACUUCCUAGCAUUUCACAGAUAAACUAUACUGUGAUUUUGUCUGGGAUAGAAAGCAAAAUACCUGCAAUUGAAUUCUUCUGAGAAUAUCAUUCAGGUAUGGUCAAAGCAAGAGCAUCUGGGAAAGAAUAUCGUAAUGUUUCAGUCAGUGGUCCAACGCAAAGCUUAGAGCCUGAGAGUCUGACAAUUUCUGGAGCUGUAAGGGUGUAUUUUGAAAUGGGUUGUGGGGAGGUAUGAAAGCUGCACAAAUGUGAUGGUGUCAUAUCGGAAAUAAUUCAUUUAUAUAGAGUGUCCCCAAAAGCUAGAGACAACACACUUUGAACUUCACAGCAGUGGGUGCCAUGUUUAGGGAUUUGUAUUCAUGUUCAAUAGAAUUUCAAACUGGGACUAGAAAAAGAAAGACCAAUAUAAGAAAGAUGUAUCUGCAGACCAUAAUGCCUCUGAGUUGAAAUCUGCUUAGGCUACUUUGAAUAGAUCCUCAUGGUCUAAAAGCCAUAUGUGUCCCCUAAGUCAUUCCAUUGCAUCUAGUGUUUCUCUUAAAAGUUUAGUGUGAACAUCCAUGAGUCAGGGAUGAUGAUUUAUUUUUUAACUCCAGUUUCGAAAAAAACCACCAACAUUUCAUCUCAUUUCCCAUAUUUGGGAUGAAACCUUAUUCUGAAAUUUGAAAUUGCUAGCAAGAGAGGAAACAAGGUUUUUAAAAUCUGCCUGUAAUCAUGCCAGACUAUUUUUUCUUAUUUAUUUAGUGUCUUUGCAUCUAUAGUCUAGCUAAUGAAAAAAUGAGCUGCAAGGAAAAUUAACCCUAAUAAUAGGAGAAUAAAAAAUGUAAAGAGAUCAACCAGUCAAUCUGCUGGGCUCAGAAAGAAUUCAAAAGUCCCAAAUGCAUUUUGAUCACCUCCCUCCAGCAGCUAGGUAAUCACACCACUCGCAUAGCCAGAGUUUUUGUAAAGUUCAUUUGCUGACAAAAUCACCCCCACUCCCCAAAUACUCAAACAUACAACCAGGUCACAGAAGCUGAACAAAUUAUCACAUAUCAGCUGAACUGUAUUCUAUUUUCAUGUCCAUGCUCUUUACUUAUUCUGAUGAAUACUACCACAUUAGUUUAAAUCCUUUCCUAUGAACUCUGCAGUGCCUAAAUCCCCCAUCAAGCUUGCUCUGACUGCAUGUGACUGCACAGUAUUUGUGCCCUGCUUUAAUCCUUCCUGACAACUUGUAAAGAUAGAUUUUCCAGACAUAAACCUAAUACAUAUUUCUCAGUAUCAUCCAGCACAAGAGGAGCUUGAAAAGCUCUUUUUUUUUUUUUUUUUUUCUGUAGGCUAGUUAGACAUACAGAAUAUAUUUUUGUUUCCCUCCUUUUCUGUUUUCCUUUUGCAAACAGGAGCUUUAUCAUCAUGUGAGGAAUAACCAGCAGACACAUGCAAAAAUAAAAGUUAACAUUUCACCUAGGAGGAAUUCCUCUGAUAUAUUUGAAGACAUGCUAGCUUAAGAAGGGUAGAACUUCAUGUCCAAUGAUACAUUUAUGACAUUACUAUUAAUCAGGCAUAAAGGAUUUGUACUGCAUUGUGACAGAGAGCAAUAAGAAGUGGACAUGAAGGUGAAUUGGUUAUUAAGCAAGUAAAUGACUUCUGUUGCCAGCCUGGCACUGACUGACAGGACUUGAAUGCCUGUAGUGUUGUCAGAUUUCCCAGACUCCUCAGUAGUUUUAUUCAAGGGAUUUUUGUAUCUGGCCAUCAUUGCUAUGCUUGGCCACCAGGCAGAAGACAGAAGAAUAAGUCAAUUGAAUGAUGCAAGGCUCUAGUUUCACUGGGUAGGACCAGUGUUUGGACAACUUAUCUCAUUUGGUGAGCAGGACCUGAGCAGUGUGGCUCAAGUUAAAUGAAAGUAAGGUCAUUAAUCAGUUCUUUAAAGAAACCAGGUGGCACUUGCCAAGGUUAUGUGGUGAAGAAAGUUGUAUACAGAGCAAAUUUAGCCUGUGCUAAUGGUGUCAGUUGGAGAGUAGGUUCAAAGAUGAGAUUGAUCCAAGGGUGAGUAUCCCAUCAUGCCACCAUCUCUUUCCUCUCUCAUAGCCCAGAGUACCUUGGCUGCCUGCAAGGCUGGUGCUCAGCUGUCUUCAUGUAUAUUGAGAACAUGAAGAACAUUUUUUUUUUUUUUUUGAGAGAGAGAAUAAUAACACUGGAAAGGAUGAGUCUGAGCUCCUCAGAAAUGACUGUGAGCUGGUUUUUUUUAUACCAUACUUACAAAAGGUCUUGCUUUUCUUUGCAGAAGAACAAAUAUUCUGUCCUCACAGUCUUUUCCCUUAACACUUUCAUUUUACUGACCUCACAGCUCUGACCGUGCUCUGCUCCUCUUUCUUCUAGCUUUUAUUUGUCCUUUCAGCUUUUUAAAAGUACUCUUGCUACUAACUGUGGGCUUUUCUCUCUCAGAUGGUAUCCCAGACACAUUAAGAUUAUUUUCCUGGAGGUAAUGUUUACAGAUAACCCAAUGAAGGGGGAAUUGGAGGUCUCCCAGAAAAAGUAAAGAUGCAGACUUUCAGGUUUCACAAGUAGUAUUUCACAGGCAGUUGUGCUCGGGAAAUAUGCUGACAGCAACCUUAAGAGAAUGUGUAAAAGAAGGACACUUUCUUCCCAGUUCUAUUGAGCCUUCUGUCCUCCAGCCCCCCAGCCCACUUCUUUGAUAUUUAGAAAAAUCAAAAGGUAAAAAGGUAGAAAGUUCAGGCAGAAUGUGUGAGAUGAUAGUAAUGGAAUUGGAUACACUAGCAUGUAUUAUGGUACAGCUGUUGUCAUCUUGACCAUUCUCUCUCAUCCUGUUAUUUUUGUGAGAAGUUAUUUAAAUAUAUGUGCAUAUACCCCAGAGGAGUACUCUGUGUUUUGCUUUCUAUUUUUUAAGAAUGUCAGGAAGUUACAAUAAAUAUCUCCAUGAAAUUUGCUUAAUAAGAAUUUUCAGAAGCAUUUGUCAUAUUUCUGCUAGCAAAGUCAACUGAAAGACUAAUUUUAGCAAUGUGAAAAGCUGCUUCUAUUGUGACAAAAAUUAUGGCCUAAGGGACAGAGCCACCCCCUCUAGAAAUUAAUACUUACAAAACCACAUUUCUGUCAACAGUCUGAUGGUGAUGCCAUGAGAAGCUACUAAUGGGAAAACAGAGCUGUCAGAAUAAAAAGUGUUCAUCUUCUCUAAACCAAGGAGCCUUUAUUUAUUUUUCCAAGCAAUAGGCACAACUGAACUGUUUCUCUGAAAUCUCUGUCUCCCGUAGAUAAUAUGCUUGGUUUAGCACUAACUCAUACUUCAACCUCUGUCUCAUGUACUUUGUAUUUUUUUUUUCAUCAUGCAGACCACACUCUCCUAGGAAAAACAACUUUUUUUUUUUUUUUUUUUUUUUUUUUUUUGUUGCAUCCACAAUUACAGCCAAGCUUCUUGAUCAGGGUACCAAACAAAACACAACAUGCAAUUUACAUGGGCUAAAAAAA